AUUGAACGCUGGCGGCAUGCCUAAUACAUGCAAGUCGAACGGUAGCAUGCUCUUCGGAGUGAUGACGAGUGGCGGACGGGUGAGUAAUACAUAGGAAUCUACCCAGUAGUGGGGGACAACUUGGGGAAACUCAAGCUAAUACCGCAUACGUCCUACGGGAGAAAGGGGGCCUCUUCUUGAAAGCUCUUGCUAUUGGAUGAGCCUAUGUCAGAUUAGCUUGUUGGUGGGGUAACAGCCUACCAAGGCAACGAUCUGUAGCUGGUCUGAGAGGAUGAUCAGCCACACUGGGACUGAGACACGGCCCAGACUCCUGCGGGAGGCAGCAGUAGGGAAUAUUGGACAAUGGGCGAAAGCCUGAUCCAGCAAUGCCGCGUGUGUGAAGAAGGCCUGCGGGUUGUAAAGCACUUUCAGUUGGGAAGAAAAGCUUAAGGUUAAUAUCUUUAAGUGUUGACGUUAUCAACAGAAGAAGCACCGGCUAACUCUGUGCCAGCAGCCGCGGUAAUACAGAGGGUGCGAGCGUUAAUCGGAAUUACUGGGCGUAAAGGGUAUGUAGGCGGUUAUAUCAGUCGGAUGUGAAAGCCCAAGGCUUAACCUUGGAAUUGCAUUCGAUACUAUAUGACUAGAGUACAGUAGAGGAAGGUGGAAUUCCUAGUGUAGCGGUGAAAUGCGUAGAUAUUAGGAGGAACAUCAGUGGCGAAGGCGACCUUCUGGACUGAUACUGACGCUGAGGUACGAAAGCGUGGGGAGCAAACAGGAUUAGAUACCCUGGUAGUCCACGCCCUAAACGAUGAGAACUAGAUGUUGGGAGGAAUUUGCCUCUUAGUGUCGUAGCUAACGCGAUAAGUUCUCCGCCUGGGGAGUACGGCCGCAAGGUUAAAACUCAAAUGAAUUGACGG
rnacentral:rRNA from 1 species